UACCUGCGCCGUUUUGUUCUCGUCUUCUUUGACGACAUCCUCAUUUUCAGCGAGACAUGGGCUGACCAUCUCCGACAUGUGCGCACCGUCUUCACGGUCCUGCACCAGCACCGGCUCUUCGUCAAGCGCUCCAAAUGCGCGUUCGCCGUUGAAUCAAUCGCAUACCUGGGUCACACCAUCUCCGCUGCAGGCGUGGCCAUGGAUCCGGAAAAGGUGCAGGCAGUGGCGGACUGGCCGCAACCACGCUCGGCGCGCGCGGUUCGGGGCUUUCUCGGUCUUGCGGGGUACUACCGCAAGUUUGUCAAGGACUUUGGCGUGGUUGCCGCGCCCCUGACGGCCCUCCUUCGCAAGGAUGGUUUCUCUUGGUCGCCGGAGGCGGCAGCAGCUUUUAACACCCUCAAGACGGCAAUCACCACGGCUCCCGUCCUCGCGUUACCGGAUUUUACACGGCCGUUCAUCGUCGAGUGUGACGCAUCGACGUACGGUUUCGGGGCCGUCCUUCUUCAGGACCACCACCCGGUGGCUUUCUUUAGCCGGCCAGCCGCGCCACGUCACCGUUCCCUGGCAGCGUAUGAACGGGAACUCAUCGGCCUGGUGCUCGCGAUUCGCCAUUGGAGGCCGUACCUAUGGGGGCGUCAGUUUGUGGUAAAAACGGAUCAUUACAGCCUCAAAUUUCUGCUUGACCAGCGUUUGGCCACCAUCCCGCAGCAUCAUUGGGUUGGCAAACUCCUGGGAUUCGACUUUACGGUGGAGUACAAGGCAGGUAGUACCAACACGGUGGCGGAUGCACUUUCCCGCCGUGACACGGAGGAGACGACGAUCAUGGCGGUCUCAGGGCCUCGUUUCGACUUCAUCAAUCGCCUCCGGCAAGCGACGUCCACUGAUCCGGCGCUCGUCACACUGCGGGAGGAUAUCACGGCAGGUGCGCGGCAACAGCCUUCGGCGCUCUCCGACGGCCUCGUUACUUUCAACGGCCGCCUCUACAUUCCGCCGUCAUCCCCGCUACUCCAGGAGAUUCUCAGUGCCGUGCACGAUGAUGGGCAUGAAGGCGUCCUGCGCACAUUGCAUCGUCUCCGCCGCGAUUUCCACGCACCUAACCUUCGCAAGACGGUGCAGGAGUACGUCCGCACUUGCGGUACUUGCCAGCGGUACAAGUCCGAGCACUUGCACCCCGCUGGGCUGCUACUGCCGCUGCCGGUACCCACGGGCGUGUGGACUGACAUC
rnacentral:rRNA from 1 species